rnacentral:lncRNA from 1 species
AUUCCCACUAAAGAUAACGAAACGUGAUCUAUUUUUCAGAACAGCAAGUGGAUGGGAAAGAACCUUGACAACACAAAACUCAUUUACUAAUGGACUGGUUUUGAGUUUCUCUUCUCUGAGUCCGCAAAUCGCCCAGCCUGAGCCCUCGGCUUAUUCAGACCUCGCGGGGAGCCGAGGCCCGCAGAAGGCAGGUGGACAGCUGCUCCCGCGCGGCGCGGGCCAUCUGAGCUCGGGUUCCCAAGGGUCGAGGGCAUCCGGAAUUUCGGACUAAACAGAGGAAAAAGAUGAAUGUUGUUACUUCAGCUCGGACUUGGGGAGUCUCCUCACUGCCCCAGGGCGAUGUCGCUAAUUUACUGGAGAAACACCUCUCGAAGCCCUUCCCUUCCAGGUAUCUGUAGGUAGAGUAGGAUCCGUGCCUUGGUUCUCGAUGGCGAAGGAAUUCCAAGUAAGCGGGCUGGAAACCCUAAAGUAUCUUGCUUCAAACCCGAAGAGAAAAAGUACGUCCCAACUAUAGGGUUUUGAACCAAGGCCUUAUGCCAACCCAGCUAAGAAACCCCAGCAGCUUUUAAUGUUUUCGCAUUGACUUUUUGGUCCACCGGCUCCUUGCACCCGACCAUUACCCGCACAGCAGAGGCACACAGGAGCCGAAACCCGACAACGGGUGCGGAUCACCAGCCGUGUUACCCUUAGAAGCCCAGAUGAGGCUAGGGCAGCAGCAGCAGGCUAGCAGGAGUUGCUCCGUUCCCUUUAAAUCUCCGACGCAUCUCUGUUUUUCAUGCGAUUUGCAUUGACAGCAAAGGUUUUAUGUUACAGAACAACUCAAACCUUUCUGUGUGCUAUUUAAAAUGGAUCAUUUGGUUUAUGUGGUUUGUAAAUUCAUGUCAUUUUACCUCUUUUAGUGGUUUUCAGUGAAAGGCUCCAUUUUGGGAAACCUUAUAUAUCCGAGCCAAUAAUUAACAUUUAUAACAAUUGGUUCCUUUUAACCAAGGGAUCGAAAUAGCAGGUAGGCUCUUUGGUACAAAGCGCAUAACUUUUUCUUUAUAGUUAUGCGCAAACCGGAGGGUAAAGGCUGGCGGAUCCGACCACCAGGCCUCUGAGGACAAGCACCUCUCUCAGCGCCUGCAAUCACAGCACCCACACAGUCAUCUUCCCAGUUGUUAUUAACAUCUGGGUUAGUACAUCCCGGUUCCUUUUGAAGACAGAUGAAAAGAAGUGGGCAGGGAGGUCUGGAAAAAGCCGAAAAAAGGUGGUCCUUAUUGGUGUCUAAUUGCCAUCUCUCUGCUCUCUUGUGAUCCUGUAAAUUUAUGUUUGCCCUUAUGCGUUCAAGCUAUGCCUUAUAUCCUUAGAGAAA